CCACCAGCAGCGAGAGAGAGAGAGAGAGAGAGGUUAAGGAGUGGAGGACUCGUGGCGGGACGCUGAAGGAGGCGUGAAGGAGUGAAGCACGGACGCCCAGCACUCUGCCGCCACCAUCAACACUAACGUGAUCGUCACCUCGAGCGGGGAGGUGACGUGGCUGUCUCACGGCAUCUACAAGUCCUCCUGUGACAUGAACGUGGAGUUUUUCCCCUUUGAUGUCCAGUCCUGCAAGAUGUGGGCGUCCUGGACCUACGACGGCUACCAGCACUUUUGGUGUUCUACAUGCCGAGCGAAUCCGGGGGGAAGGUGACUCAGGGCAUCUCGACACUGCCCUCCGUCACUGUCUUCCUCUUGACCAUCAGAGUCCCUGCCGCCCACUGAGAAGACACCGCUCGUCAGUGAGUACUACGCCUCGCCUCUCACUGCCCUCCCUGUACCAUGCCUUACAAUAUACUGCCUUUCUUGUACUGUGACUUAUAAUACACAGCUCCUCUUAGUAAUGCGCCUCACUGUACACUGCCCUCCCUGUUCUAUGCCUUACAAUAUUGACUUUCUUUUACUGCGCUUUACUAUAUAUUGUUAUCCCAUCUUGGUCUCGUGGGACUCAACUUAAUAUUGGUAUAAGUUAACAUGAUAUGAUCUGACUUUUACUGUUACUUCUGCUGUUACUGGUGGUGGUGGUGGUGGUGGUGGUGUUGUUGAUGGUGGUGCGACUACUACUACUACUACUACUACUACUACUACUACUACUACUCACCACCAUUACCACCAUCACAACUGCAACAACCAGCCCACUAAAAUCACCAAAAUCCCACCAUUAACAACAACAACAACAACAACAACAACAACACCAGCAACAACACUAAUCUAACCUAACCCAGUCAUUCCUAUCAAACAAAGUAGGUAUUGACAAGACCAGGCUCAUCCAUCAGGGUUCAGCGAGGACUCUGUAAAAUCACCCCUCGUCUGUCUCUACUUUCCUCACUACGUGAAUAAGCACAGAGAAAAGGCGUUGCUACCACCUCGCCCCUUCCCCUUUAGUGGCCUUUCACAACGUGCUGGGAAUGUACAGACAC